ACUGUCAGUGAUGCAACAUCCACAGCGCAUUGAUGCUUUGUGAAAACAACCUACAUGCACUACCAUCUGAGACAGG
rfam:Aplysia californica cont2.49676, whole genome shotgun sequence.